rnacentral:lncRNA from 1 species
UGGAUCAUUAUGAAAUGGUGGUUGGAGAUUGGAGGGAAGGUAGGUUGUGGUGUAUGAUCGCUAUGGCCGUGUGUUGAAGUUGUUUGAUCCUGCAACUAAAGCCGCUAAAACUUUGCUGGAAAAAUGUUAUUAUACUGACGAUCAUUGUGGCGUGUUUGCUUACAAAGAUAGCUUGGUGUUGAUCUGUCGGUGAUAACUAUAAAUGGUGGUCAAGAUUCAUCCAUCCAUAGUCAUUGCAUGUUUAUAGAGAGAGACAGACUUAAUCUACCAGCUGAUGAGGAUAAUAUGUGAAGGUAUGGUAAUGAAUGAGACUUUGCUACUUUAUCUGGUUUGGAUUCUCUUCAUCCCAAUCCCAAAUGAAUCAGUUUGACAUUUUGGUGGUCUCAGCUGGGAUGAUGUGUAUCUAGUUUUUUCAUUUUGGUAUUAGAUCCUAAACAUAAGAUUUGUAUGAAUCAUGUUUGCAUCUCUGACUCUGAUCUUUAGGUUUCAGUGAUCCAAGUAAAAUAUAUGGAUUGUGGAAUCGCGUAGAAUUUCGAUC